AGUCAAUAUUUUGUUAAUGUUAAUUUUAUAAUGGAUUUAUUCACAAUGAUAAUUUGUUAAUGUAUAUCUUUGUACUCCUAGUUGGCAGUGUUUUCAAUAUGGAUCAUUUUGGGGCUUGCUCUAUUAUGAUUGAUGUAUAGUUGGCAUAUUGAGAGGUGAAGCCAAGUAGACAUGGUUGUACAAAAAGGCAUAGGUCAUUCUAUUAACAACGUCACUACUGCUCUUGAUGAAGGACACCCACAAACAAUUCAAAAUAUAUCAUCAAAAGAAUUUUGAGAUUGAGCAUCUAGAAAGUGAGUUACAACCAUCCUUUUGCACUUGGAAGAAAAAUGAUGUAAAACUAGAUGUAGUGAAGGUUAUGAACAAUUCAAAGUUGAAGAAGAAGUUGUAAAAUUGUUGGUUUUAGUUGUUGAUUAUGUAUGAUGUUUAUGGAUAAAUUGUAAUAGUGAAAAAGGAAGACCAUAUUUGAUACUUUUUGUCAA